rnacentral:lncRNA from 1 species
AAGAAAUACAAAUAAACAAUGGCGCGGUGGCCGAAAACAAUUUAACUUAAAUUACGAACAUAAACUAACCCGUAGGCGUGUGGCGAUUGCCAGAACUCAAAACACUCAAAACAAAACCAGGUCAAGUUCGUGCAGAGUCCACGAAAAUGCCAGCGACCCCGAACGGGCGGAAACUUCCGGCAUUUAUGGGGCGUCAGGAUUAAAGUCAGGUGUGGAGGCCAGCUGCAGGCAAUCCUGACAGAGCCCCCCCUCCAAGGGCUACGUCCUCGGAGCCCCAACAGUACCAUCAGUGGAGGCGGCGGGGUGGACGGCGGCAACCACAGGGCUCCUGCCCUGCUGUAUCCUCCCCUUGGAGGACCCGGUCCCUCGGGCUGGCUCCCCGGCGUGGUCAGGCGUGGCGGCCCCGGUCCCUCGGGCUGGCUCCCCGGCGUGGUCAGGCGUGGCGGCCCCGGUCCCUCGGGCUGGCUCCCCGGCGUGGUCAGGCGUGGCGGCCCCGGUCCCUCGGGCUGGCUCCCCGGCGUGGUCAGGCGUGGCGGCCCCGGUCCCUCGGGCUGGCUCCCCGGCGUGGUCAGGCGUGGCGGCCCCGGUCCCUCGGGCUGGCUCCCCGGCGUGGUCAGGCGUGGCGGCCCCGGACCCUCGGCCUGGCUCCCCGGCGUGGUCAGGCGUGGCGGCCCCGGACCCUCGGCCUGGCUCCCCGGCGUGGUCCCGCUUGGCGGCCCCGGACCCUCGGCCUGGCUCCCCGGCGUGGUCCCGCUUGGCGGCCCCGGACCCUCGGCCUGGCUCCCCGGCGUGGUCCCGCUUGGCGGCCCCGGACCCUCGGCCUGGCUCCCCGGCGUGGUCCCGCAUGGCGGCCCCGGACCCUCGGCCUGGCUCCCCGGCGUGGUCCCGCAUGGCGGCCCCGGACCCUCGGCCUGGCUCCCCGGCGUGGUCCCGCAUGGCGGCCCCGGACUCCCGUACCUGCACACAAUAAUCAGGGCCGAUCCAUCUGGGUACGUGUGGGCCCUGUCUCCACAUGUCCCCUCUGACACAUC